UUUUUCAUUUUAUUUCUUUUCCCUAUCUCCCUUUUUUCCCCAUUUGAAAUCUAUAUCUACGUAUAUAUCUCAUAUUUGUGUUGAAUAUAAUGUGAAUUAGAUAUCCGUGAAAAAUUAUAGUACGUAAAUAGAGGGAGAUAAUAGUGUGCAAGUGUAAGGAUCUCGAAAGAAUAAUAUCACACGUGGCACGUAAUAUUAUCCAGAAUAGUCGAAUAAGGAAAAUGUCAGUGCAUCCGCUAUCACCUAUACUACCCGUCCGACUUUUAGACAUAGAGAGAAAAUAAGGUUCAACCUUUAUAAGGGCGACACAAAUCAUGCUAACACGACGUUUGUCGGUCGUCGUUGAUCUCGAACGAAGCGACCCGUUAAACUUAACGAAGUUUACACGAUUUAUAUUAAUUUUGAGAAAUAAAAUAUUGGAAAAGAAAAAAAAGGAAAAAAGAAAUCGAUCUAUUAGGGGAAGGGAAAGGAAGAUCAAACGAAAGGAAACCAAAAA